ensembl:lncRNA
UAACAUGUUAUAGAACAACAGGCUUGAACAGUUAUAACAUGUUAUAGAACAACAGGCUUGAGAACAGUUAUAACAUGUUAUAGAACAACAGGCUUGAGAACAGUUAUAACAUGUUAUAGAACAACAGGCUUGAGAACAGUUAUAACAUGUUAUAGAAGAACAGGCUUGAGAACAGUUAUAACAUGUUAUAGAACAACAGGCUUGAGAACAGUUAUAACAUGUUAUAGAACAACAGGCUUGAGAACAGUUAUAACAUGUUAUAGAACAACAGGCUUGAGCCUCCAUGUGUUGCCUUCCGUUUGCUCCUCACUGGUUUAUCACUUUAUAUCUAUAUCUAUAUCACUAUAUCAAUUUAACCUGG